CCUACGGGAGUCAGCCGUGAGGAAUAUUGGUCAAUGGGCGCAAGCCUGAACCAGCCAAGUCGCGUGAGGGAUGACGGUCCUAUGGAUUGUAAACCUCUUUUGUCGGGGAGCAAGGCACGCCACGUGUGGCGGGAAGGAGAGUACCCGCAGAAAAAGCAUCGGCUAACUCCGUGCCAGCAGCCGCGGUAAUACGUAGGAUGCGAGCGUUAUCCGGAUUUAUUGGGUUUCAAGGGUGCGUAGGCGGAAGGUUAAGUCAGCGGUCAAAUGUCGGUGCUCAACACCGGCCUGCCGUUGAAACUGGUCGUCUUGAGUGAGCGAGAAGUAUGCGGAAUGCGUGGUGUAGCGGUGAAAUGCAUAGAUAUCACGCAGAACUCCGAUUGCGAAGGCAGCAUACCGGCGCUCAACUGACGCUGAGGCACGAAAGCGUGGGGAUCGAACAGGAUUAGAUACCCUUGUAGUC
rnacentral:rRNA from 1 species